rnacentral:rRNA from 1 species
CAGGGUACUCGAGUGGCGAACGGGUGAGUAACACGUGGGUGAUCUGCCCUGCACUUCGGGAUAAGCCUGGGAAACUGGGUCUAAUACCGGAUAGGAGCCAUUUUUAGUGUGAUGGUUGGAAAGUUUUUCGGUGUAGGAUGAGCUCGCGGCCUAUCAGCUUGUUGGUGGGGUAAUGGCCUACCAAGGCGGCGACGGGUAGCCGGCCUGAGAGGGUGGACGGCCACAUUGGGACUGAGAUACGGCCCAG